GUGAAACCGCGAAAGGCUCAUUAAAUCAGUUAUGGUUCCUUAGAUCGUACCCACAUUUACUUGGAUAACUGUGGUAAUUCUAGAGCUAAUACAUGCAAACAGAGCUCCGCCCGGAGACGGAAGGAGCGCUUUUAUUAGAUCAAAACCAAUCGGUGUCGGACGUCGCAAGGCGUUCGUCAUCGUACACUUUGGUGACUCUGAAUAACUUUUUGCUGAUCGCACGGUCUCGCACCGGCGACGCAUCUUUCAAAUGUCUGCCUUAUCAACUGUCGAUGGUAGGUUCUGCGCCUACCAUGGUUGUAACGGGUAACGGGGAAUCAGGGUUCGAUUCCGGAGAGGGAGCCUGAGAAACGGCUACCACAUCCAAGGAAGGCAGCAGGCGCGCAAAUUACCCACUCCCGGCACGGGGAGGUAGUGACGAAAAAUAACGAUACGGGACUCAUCCGAGGCCCCGUAAUCGGAAUGAGUACACUCUAAAUCCUUUAACGAGGAUCAAUUGGAGGGCAAGUCUGGUGCCAGCAGCCGCGGUAAUUCCAGCUCCAAUAGCGUAUAUUAAAGUUGUUGCGGUUAAAAAGCUCGUAGUCGAAUUUGUGUCCCGCGCCGCCGGUUCAUCGCUCGCGGUGUUUAACUGGCGUGUCCGCGGGACGUCCUGCCGGUGGGCUUAUCUGCCGUUCGCGCGGCGGCGGCCCAACUUGAAAUCCCACCGCGGUGCUCUUCAUUGAGUGUCGAGGUGGGCCGGCACUUUUACUUUGAACAAAUUAGAGUGCUUAAAGCAGGCUAAAAUUUCGCCUGAAUAUCGUGUGCAUGGAAUAAUGGAAUAGGACCUCGGUUCUAUUUUGUUGGUUUUCGGAACCCCGAGGUAAUGAUUAAUAGGAACGGAUGGGGGCAUUCGUAUUGCGACGUUAGAGGUGAAAUUCUUGGAUCGUCGCAAGACGGACGGAAGCGAAAGCAUUUGCCAAAAACGCUUUCAUUGAUCAAGAACGAAAGUUAGAGGUUCGAAGGCGAUCAGAUACCGCCCUAGUUCUAACCAUAAACGAUGCCAGCUAGCGAUCCGCCGACGUUCCUCCGAUGACUCGACGGGCAGCUUCCGGGAAACCAAAGCUUUUGGGUUCCGGGGGAAGUAUGGUUGCAAAGCUGAAACUUAAAGGAAUUGACGGAAGGGCACCACCAGGAGUGGAGCCUGCGGCUUAAUUUGACUCA
rnacentral:rRNA from 1 species